AUGCCCUCUUUUCACGUCCAACGCCUUCCACAUCAACCACAACCCUGGAGCUACUACGGCGUGAGACAACAACACCAUCCUGCAUGUCUCUGUCCCGAUCAUGGAAGGCGCGUCGUCCCGAUCUCGCGGCUGGCUGGAACUGCACGGAGCCUCGUCAUGAAGAUGUAUGGCGUCGUCGGUACUCCCGCGGAGAUCCUUCAUCCCCUCAUCGGAGCCCUCAUCGUGCCACUGACCAUCCACGUGAAGGAUCGACAACGGAUCUGGUCGAGAUGCCAGAUCCAUGGCCAUUGCCACCGCCCAUCGUAG
rnacentral:rRNA from 1 species